GGAACUAUGGUGUAAUGGUAACACAGCAAAUACAGGUUCAACUCCUGUUAGUUCUG
rfam:Sphaerobolus stellatus SS14 unplaced genomic scaffold SPHSTscaffold_83, whole genome shotgun sequence.